rnacentral:sRNA from 12 species
UCCCACCCAGCGAAGAGCUACCGGAAGGGUAGCCUGCCUGGACAAGCACCAGGCUAGCUGGGUGGGUUUUC